rnacentral:rRNA from 1 species
UACGUAGGGUGCAAGCGUUAAUCGGAAUUACUGGGCGUAAAGCGUGCGCAGGCGGUUGUGCAAGACAGAUGUGAAAUCCCCGGGCUUAACCUGGGAAUUGCAUUUGUGACUGCACGGCUAGAGUGUGUCAGAGGGGGUAGAAUCCACGUGUGAGCAGUGAAAUGCGUAGAUAUGUGGAGGAAUACCGAUGGCGAAGGCAGCCCCCUGGGAUAACACUGACGCUCAUGCACGAAAGCGUGGGGAGCAAACAGG